GACGAACCGUCCAAACGUUGUUCGGAAUCACUGGGCUUAAAGGGCGCGUAGGCGGGCUUCCAAGUCGGUGGUGAAAUCUUUCGGCUCAACCGGAAAAGUGCCGCCGAUACUGGAAGCCUCGAGGGAGGUAGGGGUCGAGGGAACUUCCGGUGGAGCGGUGAAAUGCGUAGAUAUCGGAAGGAACGCCGGUGGCGAAAGCGCUCGACUGGACCUCUUCUGACGCUGAGGCGCGAAAGCCAGGGGAGCAAACGGG
rnacentral:rRNA from 1 species